GACGAACGCUGGCGGCGUGCUUAACACAUGCAAGUCGAACGGAAAGGCACUGAAUUUGUGGUUUGCUCGAGUGGCGAACGGGUGAGUAACACGUGAGUAACCUACCCUUGACUUUGGGUUAACUUCAGGAAACUGGGGCUAAUACCGGAUAGGAGCUCCUGCUGCAUAGUGUGGGUUGGAAAGUUUCGGCGGUUGGGAAUGGACUCGCGGCUUAUCAGCUUGUUGGUGGGGUAGUGGCUUACCAAGGCUUUGACGGGUAGCCGGCCCGGGAGGGUGACCGGCCACAUUGGGACUGAGAUACGGCCCAGACUCCUACGGGAGGCAGCAGUGGGGAAUAUUGCACAAUGGGCGGAAGCCUGAUGCAGCAACGCCGCGUGCGGGAUGACGGCCUUCGGGUUGUAAACCGCUUUCGCCUGUGACGAAGCGUGAGUGACGGUAAUGGGUAAAGAAGCACCGGCUAACUACGUG
rnacentral:rRNA from 1 species